UGGCACGCUUCGGGAGGUCUCUGUUGACAACGGGAGAGGAGACGGGUUCAGCUUCACGUUGGCCUCACAUCGUGGCAAAUCAUGGCAUUUGAUCAACAUGUUUCUACACACAACAAGCUAGGAUAUAGAAAAGCGAAUUCCAAUGGGGUCAACGACGCGCCGAGUUAUCAAUGCUUCUGUGUCUUUCUCGGGCGUAUAAACCACGUCUGCGCUGAACUCCCAGAAACAGUGGACCUCAUGAACUGCCAUUUUUCAUGACAAAUCAAACAUAUAAAGGUGUCUUCAAAUCCCCACCAAUCCCCCUUCCCAUUCACCUCCACCCCCCCCCCCCCCCCACCACACCACCACUCGCCCCCCCACACACCUCCACCAUCUUUUUGGGGUCUCUGCCUCUUUUCGAGAGCAAGAAAAGCGCACAUCUUUUCUCUCCCCUGAAUAUUUCCUCACACGGGGCACCAAUUACAUCAUGAAGUUGUAGUAAAUUCACAUAAUGUACAAUGUACGUGCGAAUGUGUGCUGAAUUGUGUGUGUGUAUUAUGAGUGUGUACGUAUGUCUGUUCAAGGAAGGCAUGUUUGGUCUGUCCUCUUAGGUCUACUAUUUAAAUCACCACUGUAAAGGUCAGCAGAAUGGUGACACAAUAUUGUGUGGAUAUCAAGCUUCACGACCCUCCCCUCAGCACUGUGCUGUCCUGUUCACGUGACACCUUCAGAGGGAGAGCCAUGUGUGUUAGCAGUGAUUGGAAGGCAAGGGAACAAGGAACUGAAACACUGGGCUGCAACUUGGGAUACCCGACAAGGGUUCCAACAUGGUCGCCCCCCUAAACCUCACAAGGUUUCUAUCCGAAAUAUUCCCUGGAAAAAAAAGUAACCAAAAGCUACAUUAGCACGAAUGCUUAAUGUUCUCCCACCCAACCUAAACACGCGCCUGAGCUUAACCCUUCCAUAGUUCCCUUACCUUUCGCCCAUUGCUUUGUACAAGCGUUCCCCGAAGCCAGCUGUCUCAUGCCCAUCUGAUAAAGAUCAGGCCUGUUCGCCCCCCCCUCCCUCUCUCACACUCCAUUGCUCUCCAUGACUCUGCACUGUGUGUCCAUGUACACAAAUCGCUUUGUUCCUGUAAGCAAUAAUGAACCUCGUUGAGCCGCGCGUGGAAAGGCUCUCUCUGAGGGUUUGUCUUCACUGAGUAAGGCAGAGCUGUCAGUUAGCCAACUACAAACAUGUCUCCAAAUCUACAGUGAUCUCUUAGAGAGUCUAGCAUACCUUCCGGUUAUCCAGAAAUUUCCGACGUCAGCUUUGUCCAAACACACCCCUUAACCACGAUGCCUUUUUAAAAAACACCUGAGCGGUUCUGAAAAUGUAAAAAAGGGACAAAAGGCGAGGUGAAUUCUACCUAGCCUCAACGACAGGCAAUCUCAUUCAGAAAACUCAAAUCGAUUUCCGAUUGACAUGAGUCUAAAAGGCAUAGGGGGAAAGGGAUCGUUUCAGGCCCCGGCUAAAACGGAUCCAUUCCUAGCUCUCCUGUCACAGGAUGGUUCGACCCAUUAGGCUUCCCUGAAGACAAACCCCUGGCCGGCUCUUCCUCAACCUGCAGGUUAGGUAAAAAAAAAAAAUUAUAUAUAUAACGUUUCAGUAUAUGUAUCUUCUGUGUUCUCGUAGUAUACAUAUGUGUAUCUUAACUGGU